UCUUGUUAUGAUAAAAAGGGUGGAUAAGGGAUUUUCUAGCCCAUGCACGCAACAUUGGUUUCUUGCGAGCGGUAUUUGGUCCUCUGUUAGUAGUCACUUUGUCAAUAAACACUUUAUUUUUCUGAACACAUUGAGCCCUGGUCUGAUAAUUUUCUUUGAAGUGCCCAUUGUUCAUACAGUGGGUACACAGCCAGUUAUCAGGAACUGUGACAUACUUUCUGUUAGGGUUGUAAGGAAUUUUAUCCUUUUGGAACCCGAUUCCCUGUCUGUUUUCACUAUUGUUGAAGUACAUGACAGUGACAGCAUCUAAGGACCAAGUCCAAUUGGGAGAUUUCUCAAGAUCACCUUUUACUUUCUUCAAUUCAGCUUGAAGCUGCCUAUUUUUUCGAGUUCAACACAUAUCCUAGUUCUAGCAGCUUUCAACUCAUUUUAAGGCCUAAUAUGUUCCUCACUGGAUUUUUCCUUUCCUUUUCCAGAAUUUUUAGGCUUUGACCUAAUCUCGAUCUAUCAAUGAUUUCCCUUAGGUCUACAAUUACUGUCAAGAGAUCAUUUUUUUCAUCUUUGAGUUUUUGAAUGGUUUCCUUAUGGUCGAUAAUUACAGCCACUAAGUCAUCUCUGGUUUGUUCAGCUUUUCCUAGUUCUAAGAUCACAUAAUCCCUAUCCUCCACAAGACUAUGAUAGGCAUCGAUCAAUACACUAACUAAAAAUAUGGGUUUCUUAGGAGAGUAGGAUUUCAGAUUUAUCUAAACAUACCUGAAAUUUACCUCCUUGUUGUCAUCGUCUUCAUCAUUAUUUGGUUGUGCCAUCAACACAAAGGUUGAGCCAUAUUCAUUUUCCUCGCCUUCACUUGCCAUCAUGGAGCUAUCACUAGCAACAAUUUCAUCUUCAGACUCACCAAAUGCAAGAGCUUGUUUCACCACAUUACAAGCAUGUCUCUUUUUAUUGAAGUCCUUGAAGGGCAUCAGGUUCCUCUUAGCCAUUUUUUCAGACUUAUUCUUAGAAUACUCUUGCUUCCAGGCUUUCCACACUUAGGACAGAAAUCAUAGUUUUUUGGUUUGCUGGAGCUACCCCUGUUUAGCAUUUCUCCAUUUCUACCAACCAUCUUCUGAAAUCUUUUGGUUUGGUAAGCCAUGUCACUUUCUUCCUCACUUGAGUCAUUUCUAUCGGCUUUGAGCACCACGUUCUUGUCAUUUAAAAUAAAAGUUCUUCCAGCACCCUUUUCAACAUUUGGUGGAGCACCCAUAAGGAUCCUUUCUAGGUGUUAACCUUUUAGAAAGAAC
rnacentral:lncRNA from 1 species